GGGGUCAUAGCUCAGCUGGGAGAGCGCCUGGUUUGCAACCAGGAGGUCAGGGGUUCGAUCCCCCUUGGCUCCACCA
rnacentral:tRNA from 1 species